AGUGUUUGAUCAUGGCUCAGGAUGAACGCUAGCGGCAGGCCUAACACAUGCAAGUCGAGGGGCAGCACGGUGUAGCAAUACACUGGUGGCGACCGGCGCACGGGUGCGUAACGCGUAUGCAACCUACCCAUAACAGGGGGAUAACACUGAGAAAUUGGUACUAAUACCCCAUAACAUCAGGACCGGCAUCGGUUCUGGUUGAAAACUCCGGUGGUUAUGGAUGGGCAUGCGUUGUAUUAGCUGGUUGG
rnacentral:rRNA from 1 species